GACGCCCAGCCACGGCGAUGAGGACACAGAGCCCCCACCACGCGGACGCCCAGCCGGGCGAUGCGGACACACAGCAGCAAUGAGCAGCCCAUUUCACAUUGCUGAAGGACACUUCUGUAUUUGUGAAAGGCAGAUAGGUGGUAAAAUCGACAACCUUGGGAGCCUUCAAUGUCACUGAGAGGGAGUUUGGAGGGACAGACGAUCUGGAGAAUCUAUCUUAAGAGUAAGAGACAGAGCAAGCUGCAGCAACAGAGGGCUGCCUGCCUACACACACCCCACAACCCCCCCCACAGCACACACACCACCUUCAUCAGCCACACACCACACACACAUCACACACGUAUCAUACACGUAUCACACAUGAUGCACAUAUCACACACAUACAUCACAUACACAUAUACCACACACACAUCACAUGUGUAUCACACACAUAUCACACAUACACACCACACACACACAUCACACAUCACACAUGUAUCACACACAUAUAUCACGUACACACACACCACACACACCACACACACACAUCACAUACGCAUACACCACACACACACACAUCACACAUGUAUCACACACAUAUAUCACGUACACACACCACACACACACAUCACACAUCACACGUGUAUCACACACAUAUAUCACGUACACACACACCACACACCCAGAUCACAUACACAUACACCACACACACAUCACACAUCACACGUGUAUCACACACAUAUAUCACGUACACACACCACACACACACAUCACACAUCACACGUGUGUCACACAUAUAUCACGUACACACACACCACACACACAUCACACAUCACACGUGUAUCACACAUAUAUCACGUACACACACCACACACACAUCACAUCACAUGUGUAUCACACACAUAUAUCACGUACACACACCACACACACACAACACACAUCACACGUGUAUCACACACAUAUAUCACGUACACACACACCACACACACAGAUCACAUACACAUAUACCACACACAUCACACAUCACACGUGUGUCACACAUAUAUCACGUACACACACACCACACACACAUCACAUCACACGUGUAUCACACAUAUAUCACGUACACACACACCACACACACACAUCACACGUGUAUCACACACAUAUAUCACGUAUACACACACCACACACACAGAACACAUACGCAUACACCACAGACACACACACACACACCACACACAACACUACAUCCUGUUGCCACACUGUCUACACGGCCACUGGGGAGAAAAGGAGGGGUUUACAUCAUUCAUUCAGCAGUUACUCAUCGCCUGGGGAGGACAGGGAUUGAGA
rnacentral:lncRNA from 1 species